rnacentral:tRNA from 1 species
GGGCCGUUAGCUCAGCUGGUAGAGCAGCGGACUUUUAAUCCGUUGGUCACAGGUUCGAAUCCCGUACGGCCCA